GGGACAGCUAUACUGCAGUCAACGANGAGACCUUCGGGUCUCUAAUGGCGAACGGGUGAGUAACACGUAGGGAACCUGCCCGCGCACCGGGAAUACGCUCUGGAAACGGAGAACAAAUCCCGAUGUACAGGAAGGAGGCAUCUUCUUUCUGUGAAACAUCCUUUAGGGGAUGGGGCGCGGAUGGACCUGCGGUGCAUUAGUUGGUUGGCGGGGUAAAGGCCCACCAAGACGAUGAUGCAUAGCCGGCCUGAGAGGGCGGACGGCCACAUUGGGACUGAGACACGGCCCAGACUCCUGCGGGAGGCAGCAGUAGGGAAUUUUCGUCAAUGGGCGCAAGCCUGAACGAGCGAUGCCGCGUGAGUGAAGAAGGCCUUCGGGUCGUAAAGCUCUGUUGCGGGGGAAAAAAGGCAGCAUCAGGAAAUGGGUGCUGACUGAUGGUGCCCCGCCAGAAAGUCACGGCUAACUACGUGCCAGCAGCCGCGGUAAUACGUAGGUGGCAAGCGUUGUCCGGAUUUAUUGGGCGUAAAGCGAGUGCAGGCGGUUCAAUAAGUCUGAUGUGAAAGCCUUCGGCUCAACCGGAGAAUUGCAUCAGAAACUGUUGAACUUGAGUGCAGAAGAGGAGAGUGGAACUCCAUGUGUAGCGGUGGAAUGCGUAGAUAUAUGGAAGAACACCAGUGGCGAAGGCGGCUCUCUGGUCUGCAACUGACGCUGAGGCUCGAAAGCAUGGGUAGCGAACAGGAUUAGAUACCC
rnacentral:rRNA from 1 species